rnacentral:rRNA from 1 species
AUUGAACGCUGGCGGCAUGCCUUACACAUGCAAGUCGAACGGCAGCACGGGAGCUUGCUCCUGGUGGCGAGUGGCGAACGGGUGAGUAAUACAUCGGAACGUACCCUGAAGUGGGGGAUAACGUAGCGAAAGUUACGCUAAUACCGCAUAUUCUGUGAGCAGGAAAGAGGGGGGAUCGCAAGACCUCUUGCUUUAGGAGCGGCCGAUGUCGGAUUAGCUAGUUGGUGAGGUAAAAGGCUCACCAAGGCGACGAUCCGUAGCGGGUCUGAGAGGAUGAUCCGCCACACUGGGACUGAGACACGGCCCAGACUCCUACGGGAGGCAGCAGUGGGGAAUUUUGGACAAUGGGCGCAAGCCUGAUCCAGCCAUGCCGCGUGAGUGAAGAAGGCCUUCGGGUUGUAAAG